GCAUCUAAACCGUGAAACUGCGAAUGGCUCAUUAAAUCAGUUAUCGUUUAUUUGAUAGUCCCUUACUACUUGGAUAACCGUGGUAAUUCUAGAGCUAAUACAUGCUAAAAACCCCGACUUCCGAAGGGGUGUAUUUAUUAGAUAAAAAACCAAUGCCCUUCGGGGCUUCUUGGUGAAUCAUAAUAACUUAACGAAUCGCAUGGCCUUGUGCCGGCGAUGGUUCAUUCAAAUUUCUGCCCUAUCAACUUUCGAUGUUAAUGUAUUGGAUUAACAUGGUUUCAACGGGUAACGGGGAAUUAGGGUUCUAUUCCGGAGAGGGAGCCUGAGAAACGGCUACCACAUCCAAGGAAGGCAGCAGGCGCGCAAAUUACCCAAUCCCGACUCGGGGAGGUAGUGACAAUAAAUACUGAUACAGGGCUCUUUUGGGUCUUGUAAUUGGAAUGAGUACAAUUUAAAUCCCUUAACGAGGAACAAUUGGAGGGCAAGUCUGGUGCCAGCAGCCGCGGUAAUUCCAGCUCCAAUAGCGUAUAUUAAAGUUGUUGCAGUUAAAAAGCUCGUAGUUGAACCUUGGGCCUGGCUGGCCGGUCCGCCUCACCGCGUGCACUGGUCCGGCCGGGCCUUUCCUCCUGGGGAGCCGCAUGCCCUUCACUGGGUGUGUCGGGGAUCCAGGACUUUUACUUUGAAAAAAUUAGAGUGUUCAAAGCAGGCAUUUGCUCGGAUACAUUAGCAUGGAAUAAUGAAAUAGGACGUGUGGUCUUAUUUUGUUGGUUUCUAAGACCGCCGUAAUGAUUAAUAGGGAUAGUCGGGGGCAUCAGUAUUCGAUUGUCAGAGGUGAAAUUCUUGGAUUUAUUGAAGACUAACUACUGCGAAAGCAUUUGCCAAGGAUGUUUUCAUUAAUCAGUGAACGAAAGUUAGGGGAUCGAAGACGAUCAGAUACCGUCGUAGUCUUAACCAUAAACUAUGCCGACUAGGGAUCGGGCGAUGUUAUCUUUUUGACUCGCUCGGCACCUUACGAGAAAUCAAAGUC
rnacentral:rRNA from 1 species